CUGCUGACCUUAUCUCGAGUUGAGUUCCAUUUCCCUAAUUAUCCUAGUUCCUCAGCAUCUGGCGUGCCUUAUCAGGAAGUGAAACUAGACUGCUCCCCUUUGUCUUCUUCCUUAGAAAUAUCAAUAUUCAGCAGAAUAUUAAUAUUUGAACAGAAAAUGUAAUUUCUUCACUUCCCCUUGCCUCACUCAGUAACUUUCCAUGAACAAAGUUCCUAUUAACUCUCAAUUGUCCCCUAACAUAUACAUUUCUUAUACAUGUAAAGUCAUCAAUACAUUCUAAUAUGAUGACAGGAAUAAGUAUAUUUCAAGCCAGAAUCCAACAGGUAGAAAAGUGAAUGUUUCUCUGUCUCUCAACUUCAUAAUUGUAUUGAUGUCAGUGGAGUCAUGUUUGUAACUUGCCCUAUGUUUGACAGCCAACCUUCAGGAUAGUCAGACAGGACAUCUCCAGAAGAAUAUUGAGGGGCUUUACCUCAUUGUGAAACAGAGGAAACACUACCUCUACCGUUUGACAGACGGCAACACGAGAAGGCAUCAGAUUCUGAGAAAAAUUGUUGAGGACAAGGCAGCCUUGACAACUGCCAUUGUUCAACUUCCCACGCAGUAGGCAGAGUUUAGGCUCCCCACAGUGGAUGAGCUGUUCAAUACUGACAACUUUGUGUGGCCAUGGGAGAGACCUGGCACCAGUAAGUAUAUGAUAACAGAAGGUACAGUAUCUAUUGUGACUGAAAUUUUACCUUCAGUGUAGGCUGCAAUCAUUGCUGUUGUUCUACUAUAUACCUCUGUGAGUUUACAUCUCACAGGCAACAGCCAUCUUGCCAUCAAAAAGGCAAUCUUGGACAGACUGAUGUUGGUGAACAGACUGCAGGAGGAAGAGAGGAUCCUGGUGCAGGAGAUGAAAAGGCACUGGGGAGCCUACAAAGAGCAGCGGGAACUCUGGAGGCACUGUCCCUACAGCUGCAAGAUCAGAGCAAUGUAGUGGAGUUGUCAGAGGGAGGAAUGGCCUUCUCUGCCACCUGAAGAGAAGAUUGAGUGAACCGACACAAGACCAAGACAACACCAGGAACACCUACCACAAGCUGAUUCUGGGAUAAGGGGCUAUUUUUGAUGACUCUGAUGUAAAUUAAAACUCAGAUGAAGAUAGAAGUCCUAUUGCUGAGAGCUCAGAUGACGACUGCUAUGCUUUCUGAAAUCAUACACAACUUCUGCCUCUUUCUCUCGGUCUCGCUCUCUCCCGCAGGAGAGGGAAAGGCCGCCACCACCUCCUUCAUUAGCAGCUUGGGUUCCGACAUUGACCCCUGACCCCUCACCUUCUGAACGCAUCCAGGGAAAUGUAAUUUGCCUGAUGAUGUGCUAGUGGAGAUUUGUUGCCAUGUUUCCUCUCCUCACCACCUCUCCUUCCGGUCCUAGACUAUGGCGACAUCAUCAGCAACUCAGAAUGUUGGUUGAGGAUCUCUUUACGGAGGAAUGUGGUUGUUCUUCAUGAUUAAAAAUAUCUGUAUAUUUUC